UGGGUAACCUGCCUCAUACAGGGGGAUAGCAGUUGGAAACGACUGGUAAAACCGCAUAAGCGCACGGUAUCGCAUGAUACAGUGUGAAAACACUCCGGUGGUAUGAGAUGGACCCGCGUCUGAUUAGCUAGUUGGUGAGGUAACGGCCCACCAAGGCGACGAUCAGUAGCCGGCCUGAGAGGGUGAACGGCCACAUUGGGACUGAGACACGGCCCA
rnacentral:rRNA from 1 species